rnacentral:lncRNA from 1 species
AAUGACUUAACCUAAUCUGAAGUGAUACAACAAUACAUAUACCUGAACUACAAAAAGGACAACCCCAAAUCCAAAAUCAUAUAGUGUUAGAAUACAAAUCCGAAGCAAGGAUCUGAAGCUGAUCUCAUGAAUCCAACACAGCUAUGAAGCGAUAUUGGAGAGGAGAACCAGAGACAUAUAGUGUUAGAAUACAAAUUCAGCUUACCUUGAU